GACGAACCGUGCGAACGUUGUUCGGAUUCACUGGGCUUAAAGGGCGCGUAGGCGGGUCAGCAAGCCCGGGGUGAAAGCUUUCGGCUCAACCGGAAAAGGGCCUUGGAUACUGCUGGUCUGGAGGAAGGUAGGGGCGUGUGGAACUUCCGGUGGAGCGGUGAAAUGCGUAGAUAUCGGAAGGAACGCCGGUGGCGAAAGCGACACGCUGGACCUUUUCUGACGCUGAGGCGCGAAAGCCAGGGGAGCAAACGGG
rnacentral:rRNA from 1 species